AUACCCACUUCGACAGCAUAUAUUCUAAAAUUGAAACGCUACAGAGAAGAUUAGUGUGGCCCCUGCUAAAGGAUAACAUGCAAAUUUGUGAGGUGUUCCUUAUUUUU
rnacentral:snRNA from 1 species